rnacentral:lncRNA from 1 species
AUGCUAGACAGCUGUCAGGAGGUGGGUUUUACGCCCCAGGCGAACCAGCAACAACUCCCUACUGUCACAUGUAUAUGCAGGAUAAGACACCACACUAAUCAUGUAAAUGCUGGCCAGUAUCCAGAACAGAAAUCCAUCUCACAUCUACAUACUAAACGGCACCUCGCGGGAAUUCUACAUCCGCGAAAAGCCAUACUGCACCUCGCGGGGUCUUACUAUGCCCGGCGGCAAGUAGAAUAUAAGUCGUAGGACCGGCCGAUCCUACGCCUAGGGCCGUGUCCCCCCUAGGAAGGGACUGGGCUCCGCCCACCCAGAAGGCUACUAUGUGCACAAAGGCCGAUGUUCAACCCCCAUCGACUAUAGGUGUCCUGCAGAUACUGCCAAGCCAUGCAUAAAUGCCAUAAUGCACCCUCCCAAUACUCUACUAAAAAGGAGUAUGAUCAAGACUACCA